UUUCGCAGUUUCAUUUGAGCUAGUUUCCACUAGUACUUUAUCUGGCAUGGACAUAGAUCCUUCUACUUCCAUGUAAUAGAACAGUACGAUUAAUUAAUGUUAUGCCUGACAGUUGGAUUGGAUUUUUGGUGUUUCGGAAAAUCAGGCGGUACCUCGAAUAGGGGUGUGAAUACCACCAAUAGAAUUAUACGUGUCAAUUUUGAUGUUGGUUUUUAUAGGGGUUGGUGUGGCGAAUGCUGGGGUUGUCAUCCAAGAUUGGUGCGGCGAGUGUUGGUGCGGCGAGUGAUGGGGUAGCUGUGGUGGCCAGUUUUUAGAAAUCACAUGUCCCGACUCUACUUGAGGCCGAGGCUUGGGCUUGUCUUGAAGCAAUUCGGUUUGCAAAGGAGAUAGGUUUUCAGAGGGUUGAAUUCGAAGUCAAAUUGUUAGUCACCGAGUUUCUAGGAUAUUCAUCACCUUGGGAACAAAGUUGCUCACUUUAUGACAAAGGAAGGCUUUCACCGACAGUGAUUCUUGGUGGGUUUAGGAUGGUCCCGUCACCAUUCACAUGUGGUGCAUGCGGAGUUGUUACAUGUUGGACAGGUGAUUUCUCCACAAUCAUGAUGGUGGAGGGGACUAAUACUUCAGACCUGGGCAAUUGGCAACGGUGUGACUAGGAGCCAAGGUUGGUAUUUUGGUGGAUGAGUUGUUGAGUUUGGGUGGGCUGUUGCUAGAGACAUGGAUCUCUAUCUAGUCUGUUGUCGAGAGGGACGAUAGGAUUUUUCUUCCUCUGGAGCUAGGAAAUUCAACGAUUUCUUUGAAUUUUCAAGAUUGAGGCUCUAUAGAGGUGGCUAAAUUUUUCUUUCAUUUUUAUUUUGAUUGUGAGUAAGGGGUAAUAGCUGUUAUCUUUUUCUUGUUUCAGACUUUUUUUAAUUUUUUUAAUUACAAUUUAUCUA